rnacentral:rRNA from 1 species
GUCCUCUUGAAUUAAAUUUGAGGUUUAACCUGCCCACUGAAAUAUUUAAAUGGCCGCAGUAAUUUGACUGUGCAAAGGUAGCAUAAUCAUUAGUUUUUUAAUUAAAAGCUUGUAUGAAGGGUUGGACGAGGUAAAAUCUGUCUCUAUUUAAUUUAUAAUAAAAUUUAAUUUUUAAGUUAAAAAGCUUAAAUAUUAUUAAAAGACGAGAAGACCCUAUAGAUCUUUAUAUUAUUUAAAUUAAUUUUAAUAUAGAAUUUUUAAUUUUUUAAUUUAAUUAAUAUUUUAUUGGGGUAAUAAAAAGAUUAAAAAAAUUCUUUUUUUAAUAUACAUUGAUUUAUGAUUAAAUGAUCCAAUUAUUUUGAUUAAAAGAUUAAGUUACCUUAGGGAUAACAGCGUAAUUUUUUUGAAGAGUUCAUAUCGAUAAAAAAGUUUGCGA